AGAGGACUGUAAUUAUUACUUUAUUUGUUGUAGCUGCAGUUUCAUGUCUUUUUCUUUAUCACUCAGCUAAUCCCUUUGAGUUUUUGCCUCGUUCCUCAGCUUAUGAUGUUAUUGCGCCAUCCAUGAAAGCUCAGGUCAGUUUUUUCUUUUUUUUUGGGGCAUUUGUUUAUUUAUGACUCACUUUCCCUGAUAUAUUUUUAUGCUCUGUUUAAUUAAUUUUUGGUUUUGGGAUCAUAUUUUGCAUGGCAGUAGCAGAAUCUUUUGUUUACGGGAGCCAUUAAUUUUUUUUUUUAACAUAAAAAGAUCACCAAAGUUAAAUUCUAACAAAUGGAUUAAUUUUUUUAAAAUUUUUUUAAAAAGAAAAAGGCUUUUAUUACUUUAAUUUCACUAGUCUGAGUUUUUUUUUCCCCCACCGAUGUGAGUUCGAUCGUGAAUUACGCGAAAAAUAUUUUAAUAGCAUAACGAACUAAUGCGGGCAGGAACUCACAAGUGAUUUGUUUCUGUCUUUUUUUUUUCUUUUUUUUUUGUCCCUUCUUAUUGCAGAAAAGUAGCAAUGAUCCAAGCCUAGAGAAAAUUCUCAAAAGAGCAGCAAUGGGAGACAAUACAGUGAUAAUAACAACAUUAAAUCAAGCAUGGGCAGAGCCGAACUCAAUAUUUGAUAUAUUUUUGGAGAGUUUCAGAACAGGAAAUGGAACUGGUAAACUUUUAGAUCAUCUGGUGGUGGUAGCAUUGGACUCAAAAGCACUUGAUCAUUGCUUAUCAACGCAUCCUCAUUGUUAUGCUCUCAAUACUUCUGGCCUCGAUUUUUCGGGCAAGGAAGCUUAUUUUAUGACCUCUAGUUACUUGGAAAUGAUGUGGAUUCGAAUUCGUCUUCUAUCAGAUGUUCUUGCAAUGGGUUACAACUUUGUCUUCACGGUACGUUCUUUUUCAAUUUUACAGAUGUUGCAUUAUGAUGUAGUCUUGUAACGUGUCUCUCUGCAGGUCCAAUGAUUAUGUUAAAAGUCGACAGGUCACUGUAUACUAAAAGUCGACAGGUCACUGUAUACUACCAGGAGUCACAAAUUUUUUAGGACAUCCACACGUUUAAUGUUUCAGAAGAAAUUAAUUGUAUUAUGGCAAACAAAUGCCCUCCCGCCAACGUAAGAGCAGAGUUUAAACCAGUUAAGCUUAUUAACACCACCACACAUGAUGAUUGUUAAUAAUUAAUACCACCAGCACUCUAGUUAAUUUAACCUUUACCUGGUCGUAUGGAUUCUAUGGUGAUGGUUUUCUUUUUUCUUUUUAGUUGUUGAAUAAAAUAGAUACAAAAGUAUAUAUUAACUUCAUAUUACCUUUCUCAUGAAUUAUAUUUUUGAAAAUCUCAAUUUAUUCUAUUUUUGUUAAGAAAACAAUUCGUUUUUUUCCUUAUCUUUUGAAGAAAAUAGGAUAACUUUUUAAAAAAUGAGGAGGAAGAUUUAAAAAUAGUUAAUUUUUUGUUUGAAAAAAAAAUAGAAUAAAAAAUAGUUAAUUUUUUGUUUGAAAAAAAUAGUGAUAACUUUUUUAAAAGUAAGGACUAAGGAGAAUCCUUAAAAAAAGAAGGAAAACGUUGACUUUAUAAACCGAGAAGAGUGAUGCAAACGUUGACUUUAAAAAAACGUGAAGAGUGAUGCCGCCAAGACUGAGAAAGAGGCAUACAGCGACUUAUUUGUAAAAAACGUGAAAGAUUUUCUCUUAUUUAUUUUUUUUCAGAGGACUUUUUCUCUUGUUUAAAUUCUUCCUUUUUUUUUUUUUGUUUUUUGAAAGUUAUUUAAAUUCUCCCUUAACAAUCUUGUUUUUAAUUUUUUUCAAAAUAGCAGGAUGCGGAUAUUGUGUGGCUGCAGAACCCAUUUCAACGUUUUGACCCAGAUGCAGAUUUCCAAAUUGCAUGCGACAGAUUCUCAGGCAACUCAUUUAAUCUAAGAAACGAACCAAAUGGAGGAUUUAACUACGUAAAAUCCAACAAUCGAACAAUCGAAUUCUACAAGUUUUGGUACAACUCCAGAAAGAUGUUUCCAGGUCUACAUGAUCAAGAUGUUCUGAACGAAAUCAAAUUCGAUCCGUAUAUCCAAAAAAUCCAAGUAAAAAUAAGAUUUCUAGACACCAAAUACAUUGCUGGAUUUUGUCAAGUUAGCCAAGAUUUUAAUGCAGUUUGUACCAUGCAUGCCAAUUGCUGCUUUGGCCUCGAAGCAAAAAUUACUGAUCUUAGACUUGCACUUGAGGACUGGAGAAAUUUUAUGGAGUUGCCUCCGGAUCAGAAAUCACUCCCACGAUCAUGGACUGUGCCUAAAAAAUGCAGGUAUAUAUAUAUAUAUAUAUAUGUGGACUAAGAUCCUCUCUUGAUAUGAACUUCUUACAGAUAAACUAAAUCACAUAUCAAUCUAGUCAGUUUUCAACACGAAGAUGUACACUAAAUUAAAUACAGAUUUGUACUAUAAACAUAUACAUACAGCAUUGUAUAUCCUUUAUGUAGUACUGCAAAUGUGUUAUCAUAGUCCUAACAUUUUGGAUAAAUUUUUUCAGUCUCCUUCGGUAGGGCUGUCAAUAGUUUACAAACAUUGAUUAUGUUUUAUGUGAGUUGGCUUUAGGUCCCGAAUUAAAAUUGGGAAGAAGUUUAGGAUGUUGUAAAUUAUUUUUUUUUUCAAUAUUUUACAAUGUUGUAAAAGUCCAUUUAUAAUGUCGUAAAUUUGUCCCUAACUUUAAUUUAAAUUCUGAAUUAAAAAAUUUUGCUGUUUUUUAUUUGACGUAUUUCAAUCUUUUGAGUUUAAAAUCUGUUGCUAAUUAUUUUUUUGGUCGAAAAUAGAGAGACACCCUUUCAUCCUCCUGACGAGUCGCCUAACAGUCUUCCGCCUGCUGCGCCGAAGAUUAGUGCUCAAGAGGGCAAUAAUCAAUGACACGUGUUUUAGGGUCUCUUUGGACUUUUGGAUUGAUUGAUUAAUAAACAAAGGUAAAUUGUAAAUCGUGUUUUAGUCUUCCUUUUUUACUCAACUGUUGUAAAGCAACGCAUAGUUUUGUUUCUAUGACGUUGAACGUCAUUGUUUUGUUCAAUGUUUGCUUAAAUGCCCUAUCAAAGGCCAUAAUCUUAUUUGAAUCGUUUGGCUAUUGUGCAAUAACUUGAUUUGUCAAGUUAGCCAAGAUUUUAAUGCAGUUUGUACCAUGCAUGCCAAUUGCUGCUUUGGCCUCGAAGCAAAAAUUACUGAUCUUAGACUUGCACUUGAGGACUGGAGAAAUUUUAUGGAGUUGCCUCCGGAUCAGAAAUCACUCCCACGAUCAUGGACUGUGCCUAAAAAAUGCAGGUAUAUAUAUAUAUAUAUAUAUGUGGACUAAGAUCCUCUCUUGAUAUGAACUUCUUACAGAUAAACUAAAUCACAUAUCAAUCUAGUCAGUUUUCAACACGAAGAUGUACACUAAAUUAAAUACAGAUUUGUACUAUAAACAUAUACAUACAGCAUUGUAUAUCCUUUAUGUAGUACUGCAAAUGUGUUAUCAUAGUCCUAACAUUUUGGAUAAAUUUUUUCAGUCUCCUUCGGUAGGGCUGUCAAUAGUUUACAAACAUUGAUUAUGUUUUAUGUGAGUUGGCUUUAGGUCCCGAAUUAAAAUUGGGAAGAAGUUUAGG
rnacentral:lncRNA from 1 species